rnacentral:rRNA from 1 species
GAUGAACGCUGGCGGCGUGCCUAAUACAUGCAAGUCGAGCGAACGGAUGAGAAGCUUGCUUCUCUGAUGUUAGCGGCGGACGGGUGAGUAACACGUGGAUAACCUACCUAUAAGACUUGGAUAACUUCGGGAAACCGGAGCUAAUACCGGAUAAUAUUUUGAACCGCAUGGUUCAAAAGUGAAAGACGGUCUUGCUGUCACUUAUAGAUGGAUCCGCGCUGCAUUAGCUAGUUGGUAAGGUAACGGCUUACCAAGGCAACGAUGCAUAGCCGACCUGAGAGGGUGAUCGGCCACACUGGAACUGAGACACGGUCCAGACUCCUACGGGAGGCAGCAGUAGGGAAUCUUCCGCAAUGGGCGAAAGCCUGACGGAGCAACGCCGCGUGAGUGAUGAAGGUCUUCGGAUCGUAAAACUCUGUUAUUAGGGAAGAACAUAUGUGUAAGUAACUGUGCACAUCUUGACGGUACCUAAUCAGAAAGCCACGGCUAACUACGUG